GGUAAUUCCAGCUCCAAUAGCGUAUAUUAAAUUUGUUGCGGUUAAAAAGCUCGUAGUUGGAUCUCGGCGGGCAGGGGGCGGUCCGUUAUUUGACGCGACUGCCCCAUUUGCCCGUGUAUCUUCGGCGGAACUCCCGGGGUGCUCUUCGCCGAGUGUCCCGUUGGGGGCCGCCAGCUUUACCUUGAAAAAAUUAGAGUGCUUAAAGCAGGCUCGACACGCCUGAAUAUUUAUGCAUGGAAUAAUGGAAUAGGACGUCGUUCCUAUUUUGUUGGUUUUCGGGAAUCGACGUAAUGAUUAAUAGGGACAGCCGGGGGCAUUAGUAUUCAGACGACAGAGGUGAAAUUCUUGGACCGUCUGGCGACUCACUGCUGCGAAAGCGUUUGCCAAGUAUGUUUUCAUUAAUCAAGAACGAAAGUUAGAGGUUCGAAGGCGAUCAGAUACCGCCCUAGUUCUAACCAUAAACGAUGCCAGCUAGCGAUCCGCAGACGUUUUUAUUGUAGGCUCUGCGGGAAGCUUCCGGGAAACCAAAGCUCUUGGGUUCCGGGGGAAGUAUGGUUGCAAAGCUGAAACUUAAAGAAAUUGACGGAAGGGCACCACCAGGCGUGGAACUUGCGGCUUAAUUUGACUCAACACUGGAAAUCUCACCAGGCCCGGACACCGGAAGGAUUGACAGAUUGAGAGCUCUUUCUCGAUUCGGUGGGUGGUGGUGCAUG
rnacentral:rRNA from 1 species